UUUCUAUGGAGUUAAUCAUAGUUAAAUAACAAAGCUGAGUGAACGAUAAAACAGCUUUUGGUUUAUAUCUUAGUUCUAUCUAGUUUUCAGAGAUUGUUUUUGUUAAAUCUACAAUGUCUGUUAAAAAAUCGUUCUUUGAAAACUGAAUAUUAGAUGAAUUAGACAAUUUUAUUUUCUUGCGUUUAUUUAUAAACGUAAUAGUAACUUAAAUGUUAACUAAGUAAAAACUAAAAUUUCAAAUUUAUUAGAUUAUCUAUAUUUGCAAUA
rnacentral:misc_RNA from 1 species